GGGGAUUUAGCUCAAUUGUAGAGCGUUUGCCUAGCAAGCGCAAGGCCCUGGGUUCGGUCCCCAGCUCCG
rnacentral:tRNA from 1 species